rnacentral:rRNA from 1 species
AGGGAGGCGAGAUGGCGACAUGGAGNAAACCCCAAAAACAAGNGCCCCAGUUCGGAUUGCAGGCUGCAACCCGCCUGCAUGAAGCCGGAAUCGCUAGUAAUCGCGAAUCAGAAUGUCGCGGUGAAUACGUUCCCGGGUCUUGUACACACCGCCCGUCACACCAUGGGAGUCGGAAAUGCCCGAAGUCAGUGACCCAACCGUAAGGAGGGAGCUGCCGAAGGUGGAGCCGGUAACUGGGGUGAAGUCGUAACAAGGUAGC